rnacentral:rRNA from 1 species
AAACUUUCAACAACGGAUCUCUUGGCUCUGGCAUCGAUGAAGAACGCAGCGAAAUGCGAUAAGUAAUGUGAAUUGCAGAAUUCAGUGAAUCAUCGAAUCUUUGAACGCACAUUGCGCCCCUCGGUAUUCCGGGGGGCAUGCCUGUCCGAGCGUCAUUA